CUCAAAUUUAAUUAUUGUUGAUUUUGGCGUUUGAUGAAGUUUGAUCGUUUCGUUGUUGGGUUAUCUUUGAGAUGAAUAUCUUAAAAUUUAGUGAGGAAAAUGGCUAUGAAUGUCUUGUACAAGCUGAAAAUCAAGAAAAGAAGGAAAUAAUUAUGCGUAUUAACUUAACCACUCCACAAGAUGCUGAUAAAUAUCUAUCAGCAUACAAAUUGUAUUCAGGGACAAACUGGAUUCGAAAUGGGGAGUUAAAAGAUCCGCAAAGAGUUGUGUAUCAUAAGUAUUAUGUGUGUCAACAUAGUUCAAUAAAUAAGAAAAGAAGUUGUACUAAGACUGAAAUGAAUACAGGAUGUGUUGCAACAAUAGAUGUUAAAAUUUAAAAAAAUACAACUAAAACAAAAAGAAAUUAUGAAUACCUAAAGUUAGAUAUUCCUUUAUGUGGUAUUAUAAAUUUUUAUUUAAAUCAUAACCAUAAUCUUGGCACAAGUUGUAGUUUGAAAUUUAUGAAGCUUUCUGAAGAGGUAGGCAGCAAAGUUUAAUAUAAUUAUGUAUAACCCAUAAUUAGUUUGAGAAUGGAAUGAGCCCUGCCGAAGCCAGAAGAUACCAUAAAAGUUUGUUAUUAUUGGAUGAAAAAGGUUGGAAAAAAAUGGCAGAUGCCUCUCUAAAUCCUACUAAAAAUGCACUUUAUUACCUUCAUAAAAAAUGAACUUUAAGGCAUUUUGGACAAGUAUUUGAGCCAAUACCAAAACUUCAAGAAAAAAAAAGUUUUAUCAUCAAUCAGCUAAUUAUUUCCACUAAAAAAAACAACACAAAUGAAUCUUUUGAGCCUAUAUGUUUGACGACUAUAUGGCCUAUAUGACAGACGACUCCAAACUGAAAAGACAGCUCUUAAAAAUACAUUUCCAAAUUCUACUCAGCUACUGUGUUUUUUCACGUGCUUCAAAAAGAAUGGCGAUGGCUUUGUGAAAACAAAAAUUAAAUUUCCAUGGAAAAGCGUUUGUAAGAUUAUGUAUUCUGAAAGUAAUGAAGAUCUAAAUGAACACAAGUUAAAGCUACAGCAAGAAGCGGAGUAUUGUCCAAAUUUUUGGGCAGGAUUUGAAAUUUAUUUUUCUAGAGGACAAGAGUGGUUGUAUCUUCACAGGAAACAUUUGGUCAUAAGAGGGAACAAUACAAACAAUUACGCAGAAGUAAUCAUCAGAAUACUUAAGGACAUUAUUCUUCAUCGUACAAAAGAUUACAAUUGUGUAGCAUUAGUUGAUUUCAUUGCUUUUGUCUGGGAGGAGUAUUUUAAAUGCAAGUUAUUAGAUUUGGAUGGAAGAAGAAACGAAAUAAAAAAUAAUUACUUAAAGCUAUUUUCAAAAGUAAAUGAUUUUAAACCGGAAGAUAUUUGUAACUUUGGGAGAUGGAUUGUAUCAAAUUAGUAGUAGUUCUAAUAUCUUUUUAAAAUACAUUAUUGACGUGCCAAUUGGUGUAUACAGUUGUCCUGCAGGCAUAAAUGGGUCAUUUUGUAAGCACCAAGCUUACCUACAUAAACAUUUAAAUAUUCCAUUUUUGAAUGCCCCUGCUAUUAAUUUUUAAGAAAGAGCAUCACUUGGGCGGCUAGCUUUUGGCGAGAAAUGCCCCGAAUCCAAAUGGUUUUUGGCCCUAAAUGAGCUUUCAGAAAACGCAGAUAAUAUACAAGAUUGUGGUUAUCAAGAAAACCAUCUGGAAACUAGAAUCGAUGCACCAUCUUCAUUAUUUGACGAGACAAUAAUAGAGAUUGAUGACACGUUGGAAGAUGACAACAAAAAGGAAGAUGUAAUUGAAGAAAUUAAAGAAGAAUGUAAAAAAUUUGAUAAAAUACUUAAGGAAAUACCUUUAAAAGCAUUAGAAAGACUUGCAAACAAACUAAAAAGAAUACAAACUGCGCCGCAGCUAUAUUCUUUCAUAGACAGUAAAGUUCUCGAAGACGGCCUGGAGCCACUCGUGGAAGUUCAAGAAUCCCUUGAGGAAGAUCACCUUGUGGCAAACGUAGUAGCCAAAGUGCUGUCAAAGGUAGUGGUAAAAGUAGU
rnacentral:lncRNA from 1 species